rnacentral:rRNA from 1 species
CCCCGCCUACGGGACGCAGCAGUGAGGAAUAUUGGUCAAUGGGCGGGAGCCUGAACCAGCCAAGCCGCGUGAGGGAAGAAGGUACAGCGUAUCGUAAACCUCUUUUGUCAGGGAACAAAGGCGGGGACUAGUCCCCGGAUGAGGGUACCUGAAGAAAAAGCAUCGGCUAACUCCGUGCCAGCAGCCGCGGUAAUACGGAGGAUGCGAGCGUUAUCCGGAUUUAUUUGGUUUAAAGGGUGCGCAGGCGGCCUGUUAAGUCAGCGGUAAAAACCCGGGG